rnacentral:lncRNA from 1 species
AAUAAAUAUAUGGGGCUGGGACCCCCCCCCCAGGACCCCCCCGGGGUGGGAGCCCCCCCCCGUUGCACGCCCAGGGGGUGGGAGCCCCCCUUUGUGCCACCCCCCCAUUGCACACCCCCAUAGAUGCCCCCCCCUUACACCCCCAUAACCGUGCCCCCCCCUAUAUCCCAAUCCCCCCCCCCCCCCCCCCCCCCCCCCCCCCCCCCCCCCCCCCCCCCCCCCCCCCCCCCCCCCCCCCCCAUAUCCCCCCCCCGUCCCCCCCCCCCCCCCCCCCCCCCGGUGCGUUGCACACGCGCGUGCAAGGCGUGCUCAGUUGCAGGAUUACCGCAGCUUCGCGCGCACGGGGGGCCCGGGGGGCAGCGCGGCGCUGCAGCGCGUGGUGGGGCAGUUCAAUGGGGUCUCGCGCUGGGCCCAGCUCCUGGUGCUCAGCCCCACGGCGGCCCCACAGCGGGCGCGGGUCCUGGCCCGAUUCCUGCACGUGGCGCAGGUGUCCCUGGAGCUGCCCCAGACGGAGGAGGAGCUGUACGGCCUGUCCCUGCAGCGAGAGCCGCGCACGUCGGUUUUCCGCACCUUCGACGUGGACGGGGACGGGCGCAUCUCCCGCGAGGAGUUCGGGAUCCUGCGGGAAAACUUCCCCCAGCUGCACCCGCACCACUUCGGGGAGCUCGACACCGACCGGUGCGCGACCCCCGGCCCCAAGACCCCCCCGGGACCCCCAAAUCCCCCCGGGACCCCCCAAAUCCCCCCGGG